UACGUAGGCAGCGAGCGUUGUUCGGAAUUACUGGGCGUAAAGGGUGCGCAGGCCGCGCGGGCAGUCAAAUGUGUAAUUCAGGGGCUCAACCCCUGCACUGCGCUUGAUACUUCCGCGCUAGAACUUUGGAGAGGAGUCUGGAAUUCUCGGUGUAGCAGUGAAAUGCGUGGAUAUCGAGAAGAACACUAACGGCGUAAGCAAGACUCUGGACAAAUGUUGACGCUCAAGCACGAAGGCUAGGGUAGCGAACGGG
rnacentral:rRNA from 1 species